rnacentral:misc_RNA from 1 species
GAUGAAGAACGUAGCGAAAUGCGAUAAGUAAUGUGAAUUGCAGAAUUCAGUGAAUCAUCGAAUCUUUGAUCGCACAUUGCGCCCCCUGGCAUUCCGGGGGGCAUGCCUGUUCGAGCGUCAUUACAACCCUCAAGCUCUGCUUGGUAUUGGGCUCUGCUGGGACCGGCAGGCCUUAAAAUCAGUGGCGGCGCCACUCGGCUUCAAGCGUAGUAAUUCUUCUCGCUUCGGAGACCCGGGUGCGUGCUAGCCAGCAACCCCCAACUUUCUUAGGUUGACCUCGGAUCAGGUAGGGAUACCCGCUGAACUUAAGCAUAUCAAUAAGCGGAGGA